AUUUUAAUCACAAUACCUUAACGGCCUAUUCUUUUGACUUUGGCAGCUAAUGGCUUGGAAAUCAUCCAAGUCUUCCUAUAGAGCGGUUCAAGGUGGUAACCAGUUUCUUUCACAGCCCAGUUUUGUCUGUAGUUGAGAAUUGCUCUGUUUAACAGUUUUUCUCAAACUAAUUGGCAUUUUAUGAAUGUCAAUGUUCAUUUCUUAAAUAUGUGUGAGAGAAAAAGGGAGGGUACAUAAGAUUUAGCAGAGAGAAGCAAUGUAGCAAAAUCUGCCUCCAGGAAAAAAAAGGAAAAGCAUAAAAGAAAAACAAUGCAUCAUGACUAAAUCUAAAGCUAAAUCUAUUCUAUUUUUUAUUUUAAAACUUGAAUUGGUUUGUUAAAACUCAGAUACUCUAUAAAUGAAGAAGCACCAAUAUAUUAGCUAAGUUAAAUUUUUAUAAACUUUUUUGGGGGUGUCUGAAUGCUGCUGCAAAGAAAAGCCCAUCCCACAACCAUCAUGCAAAUAAAAGACAAAUGUAGGCUAUCUACUCACAGGUGAUGUGUAAAUCGCCCAUUAUCACCUUUUACAUGAACGAGAACCAGCAAUCACCGCACUGUGUAUAAACAGCCUGUGCAUGCAGAAUCAUCACUCUGGUCUCUGAACUUUGGUUAGUGUCUGUGAACAGAGCUGAAGAGAUGCAAUCUUGUGAUUUCUGCGGUGAGAAUACCCACGGUGUCUCAUUCAAGUAAGUUUGCGAUCAGUUUGCCGUUUAGCAGUAAAACAAAACCGUUCAGUUACUGAUUAUCUUGUUUCUCUCAGACUCCCUUUAAAAGAGGAACAUCGUCGCCUCUGGAUAGUGAAUAUGGGUAAAGACGCGGAAUGGACUCCAUCUGAAUCCUCGUCUCUGUGCUCCGCUCAUUUCACUCCGGAUUGCUUUGAAUCUGGAUCAGCUCGUUUACACUCAGACGCGAUUCCGACUGUGUUUAAUUUCACACAAUCUAAGAAUCAGAUGCUAAAGGACACUGAAAAUCUCCCUCCACACCAAGAAGCACCUACUGAAUCCACCGACUCAUCCAGAUCAUCCUGCUCUGACUGUUAUAAACAUCUGCAGGCCACAGAAAGAAAUUACCAGCUGAAAUUAGCUGCUGCUCAGCUUCAGAUAAAAGAGUACAAAAAGAAUCUAGCAGAGGAGUCACGGAAAGCAACACAAUGGCAGAAGCGAGCAAUAGUUUUGCAGAGCGCAAUCAGAGCAAUGAAACAAAGGGGGUCAAUACCUGCAUCAAGAAAAACAUCUACACCUAAAAAUAAUCAUUUGGACUGA
rnacentral:lncRNA from 1 species